AUUGGACGCUGGCGGCAGGCUUAACACAUGCAAGUCGAACGAGUGGCGUACGGUUGAGUCAUGCUUGGGAAUCUAGCUUAUGGAGGGGGAUAACUCCGGGAAACUGUAGCUAAUACCGCGUACCCUAGUUUUAGCCCUAGUGGGAUUAGGUAGUUGGUGAGGUAAAGGCUCACCAAGCCGACGAGGUCUACCUGGUCUGAGAGGAUGACCAGCCACACUGGGACUGAGACACGGCCCAGCCUCCUACGGGUGGCAGCAGGGGGGAAUAAUGCGCAAUGGGGGCAACCUGACGCAGCCAUGCCGCGUGAAUGAAGAGGGCCUUCGGGUUGUAAAGUUCUUUCGGUAGCGAGGCGUUAACUACAGAAGAAGCAACGGCUAACUCCGUGCCAGCAGCCGCGGUAAUAC
rnacentral:rRNA from 1 species